UGGGGAAUUUUGGACAAUGGGCGAAAGCCUGACCCAGCAACGCCGCGUGAAGGAUGAAGUAUUUCGGUAUGUAAACUUCGUAAGAAUAGGAAGAAUAAAUGACGGUACUAUUUGUAAGGUCCGGCUAACUACGUGCCAGCAGCCGCGGUAAUACGUAGGGACCAAGCGUUGUUCGGAUUUACUGGGCGUAAAGGGCGCGUAGGCGGUUUGUCAAGUCAGUUGUGAAAUCUCCGAGCUUAACUCGGAACGGUCAACUGAUACUGUCAAACUAGAGUACAGAAGGGGCAAUCGGAAUUCUUGGUGUAGCGGUGAAAUGCGUAGAUAUCAAGAGGAACACCUGAGGCGAAGGCGGGUUGCUGGGCUGAUACUGACGCUGAAGCGCGAAAGCUAGGGUAGCAAACGGGAUUAGAUACCCCCGUAGUCCCUGAGCGGGCUGGCAAGGCGCAU
rnacentral:rRNA from 1 species